rnacentral:rRNA from 1 species
UACGUAGGUGGCAAGCGUUGUCCGGAUUUAUUGGGUUUAAAGGGUGCGUAGGCGGCUUUGUAAGUCAGUGGUGAAAUAUGGCAGCUCAACUGUCAAGGUGCCAUUGAUACUGCGGAGCUUGAGUACAGAUGAGGUAGGCGGAAUUGACGGUGUAGCGGUGAAAUGCUUAGAUAUCGUCAAGAACACCUAUAGCGAAGGCAGCUUACUAAGCUUAAACUGACGCUGAGGCACGAAAGUGUGGGGAUCAAACAGG